rnacentral:rRNA from 1 species
CCCUUAGAUGUUCUGGGCCGCACACGCGCUACACUGAAGGAGGCAGCGUGUACUCCUGGAUCGAAAGAUUUGGGUAACCCGCGAAUCUCCUUCGUACUAGGGAUUGAGGUUUGCAAUUAUCCUUCAUGAACGAGGAAUUCCCAGUAAGUGCAAGUCAUAAGCUUGCGCUGACUACGUCCCUGCCCUUUGUACACACCGCCCGUCGCUACUACCGAUUGAAUGAUUUAGUGAGGACUUCGGACUGGGACCGAUGCGGCUUUCGGGCUGCGUCGGUAUUCUGGAAAGAUGUCCAAACUGUAUCAUUUAGAGGAAGUAAAAGUCGUAACA